rnacentral:rRNA from 1 species
AGUGAACGCUGGCGGUAGGCCUAACACAUGCAAGUCGAACGGCAGCACAGUAAGAGCUUGCUCUUACGGGUGGCGAGUGGCGGACGGGUGAGGAAUACAUCGGAAUCUACUUUUUCGUGGGGGAUAACGUAGGGAAACUUACGCUAAUACCGCAUACGACCUACGGGUGGAAGCAGGGGAUCUUCGGACCUUGCGCGAUUGAAUGAGCCGAUGUCGGAUUAGCUAGUUGGCGGGGUAAAGGCCCACCAAGGCGACGAUCCGUAGCUGGUCUGAGAGGAUGAUCAGCCACACUGGAACUGAGACACGGUCCAGACUCCUACGGGAGGCAGCAGUGGGGAAUAUUGGACAAUGGGCGCAAGCCUGAUCCAGCCAUACCGCGUGGGUGAAGAAGGCCUUCGGGUUGUAAAGCCCUUUUGUUGGGAAAGAAAAGCAGCAGGUUAAUACCCCGCUGUUCUGACGGUACCCAAAGAAUAAGCACCGGCUAACUUCGUA